GCUCAGGAUGAACGCUGGCGGCGUGCUUAACACAUGCAAGUCGAACGAAGCGCUUUGGAUGGAUUUCUUCGGAUUGAUAUCCUUAGUGACUGAGUGGCGGACGGGUGAGUAACGCGUGGGUAACCUGCCUCAUACAGGGGGAUAACAGUUAGAAAUGGCUGCUAAUACCGCAUAAGCGCACAGUACCGCAUGGUACCGUGUGAAAAACUCCGGUGGUAUGAGAUGGACCCGCGUCUGAUUAGCUAGUUGGCAGGGUAACGGCCUACCAAGGCGACGAUCAGUAGCCGACCUGAGAGGGUGAUCGGCCACAUUGGGACUGAGACACGGCCCAAACUCCUACGGGAGGCAGCAGUA
rnacentral:rRNA from 1 species